rnacentral:lncRNA from 1 species
UAAUUGGAGGUUCAGGGCAAAUAAUACAAGUGGACCCUUGAUAAAAAUAUACAAGAUAACAAAUCACUUCACCCGUGGGUGUUGAAGGUAGCUUGUCUCGCCCAGGAGGUGGUAACAGCUGAAAACAAAGUGACGAACGGGUGCAUAAUGUGUGGGAAUCUACCAAACCGUUCGGGCCAAAUCAUGAAGAAAGCUAAAAAGUGUUGUUUGGUAUUGAGCCAAUUAAUCCACGAGUUACAUUUGUUGUUAGGCUCAUAGUCACUUGGUUUGCACUUCGUUUUAGUACAUAGUUUGGAUUUGAAGACGUGGUACACAACCUUUGAAAUAUUGGAUACGAGAAGAGUAUACAGAAUAUCAUUCUUUCAUAUAAAUUAUCCUCAAAUAUUAAAAGAAAGGCUUAACUAUACAUUUGGUCCCUUAUGUUUAUUUUAGGUUUCAAUUUGGUCCCUUACGUUUAAAACGUGUCAAUUUGGUCCCUUACGUUUCCUCCGUUACCAUUAGUUGGUCCUUUCUGUUAAAUUACAAGUUAAUUCUGUUUAAAAAUGCCACGUGGCUAACAUUUCAAAUUUGUCCCUUGUCAUAUCCAUCAUCUACCGUUGAUAAAAAAUGACCAUAUAUGAUUAUCAUACACCCUCCCACACUAAAUAAUAAACAUAUCUCCCUCACCAUUGCAACUUGCAAGACCUUCCUGCAACCUUAUUACUUCCGUCGCAACAAUCAAACCAUAUACAUAAAUAAAUAACAAAGAAGAACAAAUCAAGAGCAAUCAAUGGUUAAUUUUUCGAUUUGGUAGAAAACUUAUUUUUUAGAUCUG